AAUGACUCUCGGCAACGGAUAUCUCGGCUCUUACAUCGAUGAAGAACGUAGCAAAAUGCGAUACUUGGUGUGAAUUGCAGAAUCCCGUGAACCAUCGAGUCUUUGAACGCAAGUUGCGCCCGAAUCCAUUUGGNNNNGGGCACNUCUGCCUGGGUGUCANGUA
rnacentral:rRNA from 1 species